GCGCGAAGGACCAUCCCUGGAAUUUACGUCGAGAAGCGAAUGUUAUUGUUUAAAAGAUUCUAUGAAUGGUCCAUCGAUCGAAUCAUCGCGUCGUUAUCGUUUUUCAAAGUCACGUGUCGUCGCUCGCGCUCCGUCGUGUCGUCAUUUGUUUUCCGGCUUCCCGACAAUGGACGUUUCGCCGGAAGGGAAUAACCGGCCUUCAAACUCUUCGACACCAGGACGCAUGUAAGGAAACCGUGAUUUGUGACUCGGAGCGGAUAUGAGAGUACGUCGCGUCGUCGACGUCACGAUCGGAGCGUCGGGCGGCGCUAUCGAGGACCGCGGCGAUGGGCCGCCGCGGGAGGCCGGAGGGCGGCGGGGGAAAUUAGAACUUAGUGUAGCGCGAGCCGCGAACGAGUGCGGUCCUCGUGUCUCUCGGACAUUGAACGGCGCGAUUGACGGACCACGCGACUCUCACAAUAACAAAAGUUUCAAUUUUGUCUAUUGCGUGCCAUAAAUACUACGAUUGUUUAAACUAUUUAUAAAAACGAAGAUUUAGGGAUAAGGAUAAAUAUAGCGAGAAGCAUCGAAAAUCGUAGGAUAAGAAAAGCGCGUGAAAAUCAUUAUUUUGUUCCUUUUAAUAAUCACCAAACGUCCGUUGUUAAAUUCGUGAAUUUCGUUAUAAAUGAGGGGAAAUAAAACCGACAAUUCUGUCCCAUUAAUUCAUAUGUAAAUGAAGAAAACUCGAUGCAACUUAAAAUUCAAGUGGAAACGAAGAAAAUAAAAGCGAAAGUGUCUCCUGCGCACAUUAGCCGAGAGAAAGUUCUACGAAAGCUCUGACAGAAAGACCCGGAAGUAUCAGAAGUGGGUACUGAAGAGAGGAAAUAAGGAUGAGCGCCAGAGAAGUUACCCUCGUUGGUGGCUCUCCCUGGGGCUUCCGCAUGCACGGCGGCCACGACCUGCAUCAACCCCUCCGCAUCUCCAGGAAAUUCAGCGAUGGUAAUUAUCAUCGAUCGGAGAAUCACGAGUCUCGAGUUCUUUCACUUCUCCUCUCCCCCUCUCGCUCUUUCUUUUCGUCUACUCCGUCAAACACGCUCUGGAGACUUUCCAACUGCGGCUGGACUCGGCAACAAUGAAGCAUCCUUCGCAUAUGAACUUUGAAAAGUGACCAUGGUUUUCUGAGCUCUUCGUCGUGCACAUCCGGAAAGGGCGUGAAGAUUUUUUUUUUAAUGUACGUGCGUUUUGGUGAACGGUUAUAAUUCGAGGUUUUUUUUUUUUUUUGAACUUCUUACGAGUCAUGGGAACCUCGAAAAAAUAGCCAGCACUUUUCUUCGGAAGGAAAUUCACGUGACGACAUCGCGUACUUCCGUCCACGAUCUACGACAACUCGCCACGCGACGAUGACAAUGGCGAUCGGGCGUGACGUAGACGUCCUUGCCGCGAGCUGUUGCAACUAGCAGGCCGGGAUCAAUGACCGAGAAAACUCGCAAUCCCUAAAUCGACGAUGACAAAGCUCUGGAGACGCUCGCUAAAUGUUAUCGGAGUGUGCAGCGACGGAGAAUUUGUGGCAUUUUCUGAAGAGGACUUGAUUCGAGUGUGGCGAAUAAAUCUCUGAACGUUGUGGGGGCAAACUUACCGGGAAAAUAUCGAACGAAAAAUGUCGAUUAGACAUCGAUAAUGUGAAAUAAAUUUCAUUGACAUGGCAAUUUGAACAAUUUCAAAUAAAAUCUCUUCCAUCCCAAGGU
rnacentral:lncRNA from 1 species